CAAAAUGUAGCUUAGGUAAAGCCUCUCGCUUACACCGAGAAGACGUCUGUUAGCCCAGAUCAUUUUGA
rnacentral:tRNA from 1 species